GACCAAUAAAUCAUAAAGCAAGAAUUCAACAUGUUCCAAGGUGAUAUGAUAAAUAUUGGUCAAUUAUAGAUGUUCUACAGAAACUAGGGUGGAGAUUAAUGCAGUGACAAUUGCAGUCAAUCUAGGACCCUCUGCUAGGGUCUACUAGAAGCCCACAAAGGAAGACUCUCAGACCUUUUGCUAGGUCGAAUAAAACAUCUAGAAAAAGAGAGAAAUAGGGAAAAGAGAAAGAAGAGG
rnacentral:lncRNA from 1 species